AUGAAUCAGCAUGGUAAUUUGUGAACACUGAUUCCUUCUGGUUCUAUCUUUCUUUUGUUUGAUCUUCAUGUUUUGUAUUCUUAUUCUUUUCUGGUCUUUUGAUUUUGGUUCUGGCUUAGACCGCCAUACAUGUGAAUUGAAAUAUGACACGCUGUUUUCUGCAGUGUAGUGUGUUUUGAAACAAUAACAUUAUAAGCAGCAUCAAGCCUCAGGUUUAUUUUGCUACCAUGUACUUGGGUUGUGAACUAUUUUUAUUUUCAUUUCUAUUCUUAUUGUCUAGUCGAUUUACUUCUUGGUCUAUGUUUGGCUUUUUUAUCUGAUUUCUGACAGUGCAAAAGUUUACAUGAUUCUUU
rnacentral:lncRNA from 1 species